GAUGAAGAACGUAGCGAAAUGCGAUACGUAAUGUGAAUUGCAGAAUUCAGUGAAUCAUCGAAUCUUUGAACGCAUAUUGCGCUCUCUGGUAUUCCGGAGAGCAUGCUUGUUUGAGUAUCAGUAAACACCUCAACUUCCAUAUCUUUUUUGAAAUGGGAGUUGGACUUGAGUGAUCCCAACGCUUUUCCUCACCGAAAAGUGGCGGGUUACUUGAAAUGCAGGUGCAGCUGGACUUUUCUCUGAGCUAUAAGCAUAUCUAUUUGGUCUGCCUAAAAAACAGAUUAUUACCUUUGCUGCAGCUAACAUAAAGGAGAUUAGUUCUUGUGCUGACUGAUGCAGGAUUCACAAAGACAGGCUUCGGCCGACUUUGUAAACUCGAUCUCAAAUCAAGUAAGACUACCCGCUGAACUUAAGCAUAUCAAUAAGCGGAGGA
rnacentral:misc_RNA from 1 species